rnacentral:rRNA from 1 species
UACGAGGGGGGCGAGCGUUGUUCGGAAUUAUUGGGCGUAAAGGGUGCGUAGGCGGUUUGGUAAGUCUUGUGUGAAAUCGCUGGGCUCAACUCAGAGUCUGCACGAGAAACUGCCGGGCUUGAGUGUGGGAGAGGUGAGUGGAAUUCCUGGUGUAGCGGUGAAAUGCGUAGAGAUGUGGAGGAACACCAGUGGCGAAGGCGACUCUUUGGCCUGUAACUGACACUGAGGCGCGAAAGCGUGGGGAGCAAACAGG